rnacentral:rRNA from 1 species
AGCGAACGCUGGCGGCAGGCCUAACACAUGCAAGUCGAACGAAGUCUUCGGACUUAGUGGCAGACGGGUGAGUAACACGUGGGAACGUGCCUUUAGGUUCGGAAUAACUCAGGGAAACUUGUGCUAAUACCGAAUGUGCCCUUCGGGGGAAAGAUUUAUCGCCUUUAGAGCGGCCCGCGUCUGAUUAGCUAGUUGGUGAGGUAAAGGUUCACCAAGGCUACGAUCAGUAGCUGGUCUGAGAGGAUGACCAGCCACAUUGGGACUGAGACACGGCCGAAACUCCUACGGGAGGCAGCAGUGGGUAAUCUUGCGCAAGGGGCGAAAGCCUGACGCAGCCAUGCCGCGUGGAUGAUGAAGGUCUUAGGAUUGUAAACUCCUUUCACCGGUGAAGAUAAUGACUGUAGCCGGAGAAGAAGCCCCGGCUAACUUCGUGCCAGCCGCCGCAGUAACAC